rnacentral:rRNA from 1 species
UGCGGUUAAACAAAUAAUGCUACUAUUUUUAUUUGGUUUUUAAUUUUUAGUUAAUAAGAAUUAAUUUUUAUUUAAUUUAAUAUUGGGUGAAAUCCUAUUUUUUUUUAAUUAAGUUUUUGAUUAUGAGGUUAAGAAAUCUAGAUUUUAAACUGGGAUUAGAUACCCCAUUAUUCUAGAUGUUGAUGUUUAAACCUGAUAAAUAUUAGUUAUGUUCUUUAAAAUCAAAAAAUUUGGCGGUUUUUUAUUCCAAUCAGGGGAAUCUGUCCUGUAAUCGAUAGUCCACGAUUAAUAAAACUUUUAUUAUUGCUUGUAUAUCGUCGUUGUUAAUUAUUUUUGGAAAUAUAUAAUUAGAAUAUAAAACUAUAUAAAAUAUCAGAUCAAGGUGCAGCUUAUAGAAGUAGAGAUGGAUUACAAUAAAUUUAUUUAAGGAUAAAUUUUAGCAUUAUUAUUUAGAAUUUGGAUUUGAAUGUAAUUUUAGUUAUUAAUUGAGAUGAAUUAGGCUCUAGAAUGUGU